rnacentral:rRNA from 1 species
UGGGGAAUCUUGCACAAUGGGCGAAAGCCUGAUGCAGCGACGCCGCGUGAGCGAUGAAGGCCUUCGGGUUGUAAAGCUCUGUGGGGAGGGACGAAUAUGUACUGGCUAAUAUCCAGUGCGAUGACGGUACCUCCUUAGCAAGCACCGGCUAACUCUGUGCCAGCAGCCGCGGUAAGACAGAGGGUGCAAACGUUGUUCGGAAUCACUGGGCGUAAAGCGCAUGUAGGCGGCUACGUAAGUCGGACGUGAAAUCCCACGGCUCAACCGUGGAAGUGCGCUCGAAACUGUGUAGCUUGAGUUCUGGAGAGGAAGACGGAAUACUUGGUGUAGAGGUGAAAUUCGUAGAUAUCAGGUAGAACACCAGUGGCGAAGGCGGUCUUCUGGACAGAUACUGACGCUG